GGGCCUUCAUUCAGGCUCCUUUCCCUUUAAGACUUUUUGCCCGCCCCCAGCCUCUCUUCUCGCUCUCUCAUUGGAUGACCGAGAUGCCGCUCUACGACAGUUCCUGUUUCGGCCACCUUAACUUGUUGACGGUGCUCACGCCACUCUCAAUCUCCUUGGCCGCUGAUUGGUCACUGCUCACGGUGUUUUGGGCGGCGAUUGGCCUCACGUCUCCUCCUCCCCGCCCACUCGCGUCGAGUGCCGCCUUCCUGAUUUCACGCUCGUCGAUUGGCCCGCGGGGCUGAACCCGCGCCGUCCCAUUGGCUGCCGUGAGCCGCGCGUGUUAACAGCAGGGUAGGCUGCGCGGGAGGGCAAGAGAGCGGAGGCAUUGGCGGCGCGCUGGCACUGGGCGCCCGCCCGGAGGAUGGUCCCCGCCGUGGGGGCGCCGCCGCCCAGCCCGCCCAGCCCCAACGUUCUCUUCUCUGAAACCAUGCCAGAGAUGACAGAGAAUGACACCCCUACUAAGAAGCAACAUCGAAAGAAAAAUCGGGAGACGCAUAAUGCAGUGGAGAGGCAUCGAAAGAAAAAGAUUAAUGCUGGGAUAAACAGAAUUGGAGAACUCAUUCCCUGCUCUCCAGCCCUUAAACAGAGCAAGAACAUGAUUCUGGAUCAGGCCUUUAAGUACAUAACGGAAAUGAAAAGACAGAAUGAUGAGCUUCUGUUAAAUGGAGGGAACAAUGAACAAGCUGAAGAGAUAAAAAAACUGCGGAAACAACUGGAUGAACUGCAAAAGGAAAAUGGGAGAUACAUUGAACUACUGAAAGCCAAUGAUAUUUGCCUGUAUGAUGAUCCUACAAUCCACUGGAAGGGGAAUCUCAAAAAUGCAAAGGUCUCAGUUGUUAUUCCUAGCGAUCAAGUUCAAAAGAACAUUAUUGUCUAUUCAAAUGGGAGUCAACCCAAUGGAAAUAACCAGGGAGCAUCUGUCCAGGGAAUAACGUUUAAUGUUGGUCAUAAUUUACAAAAGCAAACAGCCAAUGUUGUUCCAGUCCAGAGAACUUGCAACCUAGUGACUCCUGUGACAAUUUCUGGUAUUUACCCUGCGGAAAACAAACCACGGUCUCAGAGUACAGUUUCUCCACUGGCACCCACUCAGGUGGUCCCAGCAGGGAACACUCUUGAACUUUCCAUACCAGAGAAUGAGCAAGGUGUGCAUGCUACUGCCACCUCACAGAACACUUCUCAAUCUGGAACAGAACAAGGCCUACAGUGUUCUUCAGAUAAUGCACUGCAGAAUGGUCAAAGUCUCCCCAAAAGUAAAAAUGAUGAAGGUGGCUCGAAGUCAACAAAGAAAACAGUCAUGCAGGGAAUCAGCCUUCCUUCCAGUGCCUGUGUGGAAGCUGAGAAAGUUCAACAUAUGAAUGCAACCAGCUCAAAAACACCUAAUUCUAGGAACGAGUUUCAGGAAAGCUCUGUAAUUUCAACUGCUGGCACAGCUGUUGUGCCAUCUGUGAGACUGUCUGCUGCAGACAGUUUUUCCUCUGUAAAUGUUCUCAAAAGUACAAACUUAAUAAGUAGUGCUGACACGCCUGUGACUUCUUCUGCAGAAGGAAUGAAGGCUGUAACGGUAAUAAGCACUGUGCCUGCCAGUCCCCUAGAGAACUGCUGGUCUUUUUCAGGCUCUACAGGUGUUGUUCCUUCAGACUUGAAAAAUAUGAGUAGCCUUACACGGAUGCCUUCAGCUGGAAACACACAGACCACAUGGACAACUUUGCAGCUAGCAGGAAAUACUGUCCAGCCACUAAGCCAAACACCAUCCAGUAUAAUGACUGCGCUGCUAAGUGAGCCAGUUAAUGGGGCUAGUACUGUAUCUGCUGCUCACAGCAGGCCUUUGACAACAAGCAUUAGUUUGAAUACUUCUCUGCCUAUAGAUGGGCAGGCAGCUGAACAGAUUGUAGUUACCUUGCCCUCUUGCCCAUCCCUACCUAUGCAGCCAUUAAUCAGCCAACCACAGGUUAAAACUCAGGCUGCAGGAAGUAUCCUUCCAUUAAAUUCAACUAUGCAGGUAAUUCAAAUGGCUCAACCAGUUGCGUCAGCUGUGACAGGAGCACCAGCGAACCAGAAUGUCAUCAUUCUUCAGCCUCCAAACACUGCUCCGUGUCCUCCAAUUGUGAGAGCAGAAGUUCCUAGCCAAAAUGUCAGUCAACAAAUUGUAAUUAUUCAAGCUGCUAGUCAGAAUCCUCUUCCUCUGCUCUCUGCCCAGCCUUCUGCUUCUGUCAGAGUUCCUGUGAAUGGGCCUGUGGCAGUUGCAAACUCCAGCAACUCUGUACAAAAUGCCCAUCUUCCACAGACCUUUGGUGGAAAACACCUUGUCCAUAUAUUACCAAGGCCAUCUUCUUUGCCAUCUUCUAGCUCUACACAAACAUUUUCAGUUACAAUGUCAAAUCAACAGCAUCCCCAAACAAUCUCAUUGAAUGGGCAGCUUUUUGCAUUGCAACCUGUGAUGUCUUCAUCCGGAGCUUCAAAUCAAGCCCCUAUGCAAAUUAUUCAACCCACCACCAGCGAAGAUCCAAAUACCAAUGUUGCUCUCAAUACAUUUGGUGCUUUAGCUAACCUCAAUCAGAGCAUAUCACAAAUGGCUGGACAAAGCUGCUUACACUUGUCUCUCAGCCACCCUACCAAUCCCACAACUGUCCAUAACCAGAUCACCACAGUUAACUGUGUGUCAUUGCCAGCUUCGGUGCUACCCUCAGUGCCUCUGGAGGGUUCAGUAUUAACUAGUGCAUCUAAUUCAACAAAUGUUUCCCCCAAAAAAGCUGCUGCUGGUUUUCUGUCUAAUUCAAAAUCAAAAAGGACAAACAAAAAGCAGAGUACAAAAAAACACCUUGCUGCCAACACUGAAGCUUCCUGUCCAGCAAUUCCUUGUAAAGAUGCGGGAAAGGCAGACAGUGUUCCUGUAGAAGCUGUGGCAAAGCAUUCAAAGGGUGAGGGGUUGCCUGAGAAUAUUCCAGCGACGUCACAAGCUUUAGCCACGUUGCAGGUGAGUGGCGCAAGUAUUUCUCCUUCCAAAGAAGCUGAGUGCUCAGAGCAAGCAGUGGGGUCCUGCCCUGCACCAGAGACAACUUUGGCAGAGCUGCCAGCCCCCUCACCAUUGCAGCCUGCAGUGUCUGAACAGUUGGCACUGGUCCCACCAACUGCAAGGGAUGCUGCUCCUCUCCUGCCAGUCCGUCAGCCUCAGAGCAACCCACUGACCAGCUCAGCAUCAUCAGAGUCUUCCUCUCGCUGUGAGCCCCCUGGCACCUUAACAUCCUCUCAAAAUGAAGCACAUGGGACAAGUUCUCAGGUUUCUGGGGCAUCAGCAGUGGAGAGCAGCACGGCAGGCCAGACUUCCACUGCAAGAACAACUUCAGAAUCCUGCAGUGUUCCGCAGAGUUCUUCAGUUGUCAUGCAAGAUGUGGACUUGCUGGAAGGGCAAGGUCUGACCAAAAUGCUGUCUGAUCUUACAAAAGAAAGAACAGUUGUGGAAAAAAGCUCUUCUUUUGCUGUUCAAGGAGAGCAUUCUAAUUUUCCCAUGGAAAACUCUAAAUCAGUGGAAUCAAAUGUCGAUUUGCCUGAGAAGCAGGAACUCUUGUUAAUGAACACAGAAGGAGAUGCACUCUCCCAGCAUCACAGCUGCGUUUCUGAUCAGGAAGUAGUUAGUGCUGCCCUCAUUGCCAGCAGGCAGGCAGACUCCCCAAUGUCAACCAGUUCUGGUAGUAGCCGAGGCUUCUCUGUGGCUUCGAUGUUACCUGAUACCACCAGAGAAGAUGUUACUAGCAACACAUCAACCAGUACAUGCAACAACUGCACAUUUUCAGAACAACCUGACAUCGUUGCUCUUGCAGCAAGAGCUAUUUUUGACCAGGAAAGCCUUGAGAAAAGUGGAGGAGGAAUGCAAGUUAACAUGAGGGAUGCCAUAUCUAAGUCAACUGAUGUGACUCUGGAGAGAGAGCAACAGACUUUUAAACCUCUACCAGUGAAAGAAAGCAAUGCAGGGCCAUUAGAAACAGCAUCAAACAAAUUCAGUGCUCAGGAUACGGUACAAACAAAUGUUGAUAGACAAGUUGAAAAACCAAGCUGUUCUGUAGGAGGUGUGGAAACCUCCAACUCUUCUUUGCAGAUUGCAGCUUCCCAGUCACCGAGCAUAACCAGUUUAAGUGUGAAUAACCUGAUACACCAGAGCCGCAUUGUCCAUCCCCUUGUGAGUUGCUCAAGUUUACCCCAGCCUUCAGAGCCAGCAAGCAUUCCUGCAACUGUGGGUCUCUCUCUUCCGUCUAGUUCGUAUGUCAAUCCGUCUCCAAGAUCAGCUAUGAUGAGUGAGUAUGCUCAGGAACAACUGAAUGCUAUUAGGGCAAACUCCAUGCAAGCUCCUCAGCUGCAGGAAUCACGCUUAAAGCAGCAAAAUCAGGAAGGUCGCAAAGAUUCUGCCAAGCGGGCUGUUCAGGACGACCUUCUGCUUUCUACGGCAAAGAGACAAAAGCAGUGUCAGACAGCACCUCUAAGGCUCGAAGGGAUGGCACUGAUGAAUCGAACACCAGAGAGUAUUGCUGAUCAAACACAGAUGCUGGUCAGUCAAAUGCCUUCUAAUUCAUCAAAUUCAGUGGCAUCCUUGAGCAGUCAGGGGCACACAGAUGGCCUCAGCAGGCUAUUCCCAUCAAACAGCAACUUCAUAACUCCAGCUUUGAGACAAACUGAAGUUCAGUGCAACUCUCAGCCAUCAAUUUCAGAGCAACAAGGUACAGCAGGGCAGCAUUUGCAGCCAAUUCAGCAUGUUCCUGCUCAAGGCAUAUCUCACCUUCACAACAAUCAUCCCUACUUAAAGCAGCAGCAGGCUGGACAAUUAAGAGAAAGGCACCACUUGUAUCAGCUGCAGCACCAUGUCACUCAUGGGGAAAACUCAGUCCACUCUCAACCCCAUGGUGUUCACCAGCAGCGAACAAUACAGCAGGAAGUGCAAAUGCAAAAGAAACGAAAUCUCAUCCAGGGAACCCAAGCCCCACAACUUUCUUUACAGCAGAAACACCAUGGAAGUGAUCAGACACGGCAGAAAGGUGGUCAGCCUCAUCCUCACCACCAGCAAAUGCAGCAGCAGAUGCAGCAGCACUUUGGAGCUUCCCAGCCUGAAAAGAACUGUGAAAAUCCCACAGCAAGCAGAAACCAUCAUAACCACCCUCAGAGCCAUAUAAAUCAGGACAUGAUGCAUCAACAGCAGCAAGACGUUAGCAGCAGGCAGCAAGGUUCAACUUCUGAGCAUGUAUCGGGGCACAAUCCCAUGCAGAGGCUGAUGACCUCCAGGGGUUUAGAGCCGCAAAUGGUAUCCCAGGCAAGUAUUGUAACCAGGCCAUCGGACAUGACCUGCACCCCUCAUAGGCAGGAGAGAAACAGAGUUUCCAGCUACUCUGCUGAGGCACUUAUUGGGAAGACACCCUCUAAUUCAGAGCAGAGAAUAGGAAUUUCUCUUCAAGGCCCUAGAGUUUCUGACCAGCUGGAAAUGAGAAGCUACAUUGAUGCUGCUAGAAAUAAAGGGUUGGUUAUUCACAAUAUGCAGGGCCGGAUAUCCAUUGAUCAUACGGUUGGCUCAGAUGUACAACGACUUUCUGAUUGCCAGACAUUUAAGCCAGCAGGACCCAACCAACAACCUGCAGGCAAUUUCGAUGUGCAGGCCUCAAGAAACAGUGAAAUUGGUAAUUCUGUGUCAUCCCUCAGGGGCAUGCAAUCGCAAGCUUUUCGAAUUGGUCAGAAUACUGGGCCACCCAUAGAAAGACAGAAGAGACUGCCUUACCAACCAGUACAAGGUAUUCCAACAGGAAAUUCCCUUCCGUCAAGGGAAAAUGAAAACACGUGCCACCAGAGUUUUAUGCAGAGUUUACUUGCUCCUAACCUUGGAGAUCAAGUCAGUGGAAGCCAGCGAUCGAUCCCGGAACAUCCAAGGAAUACGCAGUGCGGUGCAUCCUCCACGAUUGAGUACAGCUGUCCCCCAGCACGGGAGAGUGUCCACAUCCGGAGAGAUGGCGAUGGUCAGAACAGGGAAAGCUGUGACAUGUCUAUCAGUACAAUUAACACCAGGAACAGCUCUUUAACUAUUCCCUUCUCAACUUCAUCUUCCUCGGGAGAUAUUCAAGGUCGAAAUACAAGCCCAAACAUUUCCGUACAGAAGUCCAAUCCUAUGAGGAUGACAGACAGUCAUGGAACAAAGAGCCACAUGAAUACACCUGUCUCCAGCAACAUGCACGGGGUUGUGAGGCCAACUCACCCUCACCCUGCAGUUUCUCACGGAAAUGGCGAACAAGGGCAGCCUUCUGUUCGUCAGCCAAAUUCUUCAGUUACUCAGCGCUCAAGGCAUCCUCUACAAGAUAACAACAGCUCUAAAAUACGGCAGCCUGAAAGGAAUCGAUCUGGAAAUCAAAGACACGGGAAUGUCUUUGACCCUAGUCUUCCCCACCUGCCCCUGUCUACCAGCAGCAGUAUGAUCCUUGGGCGCCAGCAGUCUGCUAUAGAAAAGAGAGGAAGCAUUGUCCGCUUCAUGUCUGAUGGUCCUCAAGUGUCCAACGACAAUGCAGCCUCUGACCAACAUACGCUUUCUCAGAACUUUGGAUUCCCUUUUAUCCCAGAGGGUGGCAUGAAUCCACCCAUAAAUGCCAACACGUCCUUCAUUCCCCCUGUUACUCAACCUAGCGCCACUCGAACACCAGCCCUAAUCCCCGUCGAUCCCCAAAACACGCUGCCAUCCUUCUACCCGCCUUACUCUCCUGCCCACCCCACUCUUUCCAAUGACAUUUCUAUCCCUUACUUUCCCAACCAAAUGUUUCCUAAUCCGACCACAGAGAAGCCAAGUAGUGGAGGUUUGAACAAUCGAUUUGGAUCUAUCUUGUCUCCUCCCCGGCCCGUUGGUUUUGCUCAGCCAAGUUUUCCUUUGCUUCCGGAUAUGCCACCAAUGCACAUGACCAAUACGUCACACUUAUCCAAUUUUAACUUGACGUCUUUGUUUCCAGAAAUAGCCACUGCUCUUCCUCCAGAUGGUUCAGCAAUGUCGCCUUUGCUUUCCAUUGCAAACACAUCUGCUUCCGAUUCUUCCAAGCAGCCCUCAAACCGACCCGCCCACAAUAUAAGCCAUAUUCUAGGUCAUGACUGCAGUUCAGCUGUAUGAAGACUGGCGCACUGACUUUUAGUCUGAUGAGUUGUUUAUAUAUUUAAGAAAAAGAAAAUGGAUCUUACCGGCAUCCCUGAAGAGACCAGUCAUAGCAUCACUGUUUAUUUGCCUAAAUGUUUCAUGUCUGCAAUCUGCUUUGUUGCUUCAGCAAUCACAAAACAAGACAGCAAUGGGCCGUCCCCGCGUUCCUGCCUGCUCACUGUGAGAAGGAAAGCAAAGAUGGAUUUUGCCACAGGAGAUUAUUUAGAGAUGCUGUUGCCCUCCCCAAUGUAAAUUAUUUAUAUUCAGCCCAGAAUUAUCUGCUGUGCUCCUGUUUUAUACAGCUGUAAAUUACUCGGAUGCAGCCCCAGCAGAAAGCCCUUCCUAUUUUGUAAUGGAGAAAGGAAAUCUGCAGAAGAAUAUAAGGAACAAGGAAGAACAUCGUCUCAUAAUUGUACAUAAGAUCUCGUUGUGUUUAUUUUGACAUCUUUUUAUGAACGUGUGGUAUUCAGGUGUAAAUAUCUCAACCCACGAUCUCGUUCAGAGCUCUGAGAUUUCUACUGUUAUAUGUAAGACUUUGUUUAAUAGUUGUAAUAAUUAUUUGUAUAGAUAUGAACACAAUAGUAUUUUAUUAAAAAAAGGAAAACGUUCUUCAAAGCCUGUGUUGUUUUCAGUACAGCCUCUUUCCCACUGUGUGAAACAAAGAGAGGCCAGGUUGGAAAGGACCUCAAGGAUCAUCAAACCAUGUAAGCUCAAAGAGGGAGAAAAUAGAUAGGAAAGGAUGCAGCAGGAAACUGAACUGUUUGUUCCCCUUUACAGGAGCAGGUUGUACUGAAUGUAGGAGGGAUGGACACAUGCUGAGGAAGCAGGGACCACGCCACUAAGCCAGAGGCACCUCUGCCAGCACCCGACUGGGCUGAGCCCUGCAAUGCCAACAGAAACCAGGCAGGUCAAAGCCAAGAGGAAAUCUUCAACACUGCUGCAUGAGCAGGAGGCUUGAAAGCAGCAAGAAGAUGAUUCCAGCUCUGCCUCCUCAUUGAAUUAUCUCACUUGUUUUUCUGCUUGUUUUGUGCCAGUCUCCCACCGCACUAGUGCUGUGCCAUGCACACACUCUGUGGUUCUGCCCAGCACAGCGAGUCCAUCUGCUGCUCUUCCACCUCCUACACUGCCCCUGCCUGCUGCUGCUCAACGUUACCGAUCCUUCUCACAUUCACAUACAGAGAAGAUCUCCAGCUUCUCUGUUAGAAACAAAUACAGGCUUGGAACAAGCUCCAAGAGUACAGUGGACAUGGGGAGAAGGAAUAUUGUUCACUGAAACAUUGAAUAGCUGUAACAAAACCAGGCAAAGCAGAGAACAGAAAUAAGGACAACAGGCCUCAAAGAAUAUUUUUUUUUUUAUUAUUCAAAAUUAGCAAAACAGGUCACACUGUAGAUGCAACACCUGCAACAAUUCAUACCUCAUUCUUGUUUGUUUUUUAAAUAACUGAGAACUCGGAAAGAAUGCAAAGACAUUUAAAAACUUCAGAUGCAGAAAAUUUGAAGAGACGGGGGGAGAAGUUCUGUCCACAUCCCCAAAGAGCUCAACCCCAGCGCUCCCAGGACCUCCUACCACACCCCCCAUCCAAAGGAAACUCGUGGGAGGACAAAAUCAAGGGCUGCUGGACAGCUCCCCUACUCUCCAAACCUUUAACAAGGCUCCCAGACUGGGGCACAUGGCAGGAGCCAAGGAGGUGCUCAGCACAUGAGACUGAGGCCUCAUCAUCUCUCUUCUGGUCUCAGCACUUCUGGUGCUGUAAAGGAGAACUCUACACUGACAAGCAGCUGCGCAGGAGCUGCUGGAGAGAAGUUUGUGCCAGUGAGAGGGGCUGCAAUAGCAAGGCAAGAGGCUCUGCAGCUCUAGUCCCCAUCUCCCUGCAACACUGCACCCCCUUGGAAUGUUCCUGCAGCUCCUCACCAGUUACAGGAGGAGCUUCUGCACCAAAAGAACACAGAGCCCCACUACCACCUCUGCCUGGAGCCUUUUGCUCACUCAGCAGCUGUUCUGCACGCUGGGAUUGCAGUGGGACAGAAACCAAAUGCUCCCCCCCCAUGCUGCCCAAGGGGCUCUCCAAGGGCAGCAGCCCGCAGGGUCUGGGCACCAGCUGCUGAUGCAGGAAGAACUGCAAUGCAUUCUCAAACCCACUCACUAGAGAGGAAGCAGAGCACGUCAGCCUGGAGAAAGGGAAGCUAAGGUCUUCCUGUCCCCUCCCUCUUCACCAGCUGCAGCACCCGCUGUCCCCACAAGCCAGGCUGCAAAUGCUAAGUCAUGCCUACCCCAGGGGGUGUGGUGGCAGAGGAGCCGAUGUCAUCUUCCCUCCUGGUCCUGCUCCAGUUACUGCAGCACCCAGUCAUGUUCACUGUGGGAUCCAGCUCCCCACAGGGCUGCAGGCCACAGAAGCAGGCUCAUUCCCAUGGACACCGGUAGCCUGGUGCCUUCAGCCAAGAGGCUUGGCACAAACCCACGCCUCCGUCCACCAGGGGCUCAGAACACUGGGAUCUUGUCCCUGCGCACCGUGUCCAGAUCAUCAUCGAGGGUCAGCAGAACCUGGAGAGAAGCUCAAGGUUGCACGUCUCGCUGGUCACCUCACGGCCAAGGAAAACAAGGAAGAGAAGAGGCUGAGGCUGCACAGAAGAGCAGGACUCACCAGAAAGGAGAAGAACAAAGCAGCUGCAGAAAGGAAGUGCCAGACGUCAUGGUCAUCAAAGAAGCCCAGCAGGAUGCACGGCCGGUUCUUCUCUCGGGACUCUGCCGGAGUCUCCUAGGAGAGAGGGAGCAGGUGGUCAGGACUCAACACCAGCACACAAAGGAUCCUGGCCACCUACAUGAAACCCUCUGAAGAAUUUCCUGCCUAAAUCCUCCAUGAAGGAGCCAAGAAAAAGGGUGGACAUGAGACAAGGACAUGGCAGGGAUGCAAUACAAUAUUGCACAGCUAUGAAUGGGUCUGAGAUCACAGCACACAGCUCAGGGGGAACCCCCUCUGGUCUCUGCAUCUGACCUGCAGCAUAGCACAAGCUGCAAAACCUCCACUGGAUACCCCUGUCAUGGCGAUGGAGAAGUCAUCCAGUCCAAAUUUAAGAGCCUCCAAGGUCACAGGGAGUCCUCACAGCCCAUAUUAUUUCCCACUACUCAUCCCUCCAGGGAGAAGUCUGCCAGCUGCUGCUGGUCAGGAUCUGCCCAUUGUCUUCCGAUCACCAGAUCACCCUGUCUCCCCUAAGGGCAUGAUGGUGAUGGGUUGACAGUAGGACUUGAUGACCUAAGAGGCUUUUGUCAACCUUUAUGAUACUAUGCAUGCAGUUAUUUUGGCCUCAGCACAGCUUCCUGCAGUCUCUUUCUGCUGUGGGAAAGCGGACCAAGGCUUUCCCCUACAGUAUUGUUUUUGCAGAAGAACAACAGGAAGGGAAGACAAGAGACAGACAUGGAUAGAAGGACGGCAAAAGAGAAACGUUACCUCCCAGCUGCUGAGGGUCUGGAAGAAGAAGUAGAGCGCAGCCCCCCACACCACUGCUGUGGCCACAAUGCAGAACAAGGGGAUAGGCAGGAGCUUCUCAGAGCUGCGGAUCUGCAGGGAAGAAUACAGCCUCACAACAAGUGCUUCCCAGGGGCCAGAGCCAUGCACAAUGGCACAGCAGCCCGGCCUGCCCACCUUCACAGAGUGCUGCCCACCCCAGGAAGAUGCAGUCCGGCCACCAAGAUGAUCACUGCACAGCAUCCCCUCCCCAGCUACCAGUGCUUCAUCUCGCCCCAAGUCCCACAACGGACUCUCCAUGCCCCUCUAUGAGAACCCAGAUUGCAGCCAAAAGGAGGCUCGUACCCUCCCCUUCAGAGAUGGGCAAGCACAUGGCAGCUACAGCCGCCUCUUUUACCUUCAUGAUGAUGUAGAAAGCCAGAUACAGCAACAGGUUACAGAUAAAGAUGCCCAGUAUGUAGGAGGCAAAGUCUCUGGGCCGAUACACCAGUCCAAAGAUAGCACUGAGGGUAGAGAGAGAAGAAGAGACAUUAGACAUCCUCUUUCCCUGGGGACAGGAUACAUCCCCAAACUGACAAACACCCGCUGCUCCCCUCAGACCACAGGACAUGGCAACACUGCUGCAGCCUGCCAGUUUCCUGAAGGACAUACAGUGUUCACCUCAGCUCCUUGCUAAGAAACAAAACAAAGCGAAACAGAGAAUCUGCCUCCUGUGGAGACUCAUGGGAGACCUCACCACUCUCUACAACUCCCUGAAAAGAGGUUUUGGUGAGGUGGGGGUUGGCCUCUUCUCCCACGUCACUAAAGACGGGACCAGAGGGAAUGGCCUCAAGCUGUGUCAGGUGAGAUUUAGAUUGGACUUUAGGAAAAAAAUAUUCUCUGAAAAAGUGGUUAGGUGCUGAACAGGCUACCCAAGGAGGUAGCAGAGUCAUCCUGGAGGUGUUCAAGAAACAUUUACAUGUUGUACUAAGGGCUGUGGUAUAGUGCUGAAAUAUUGGUGGUAGGUGGAUGGUUGGAGUGGAUGAUCUUGGAGGUCUUUCCCAACCUUGGUGAUUCUGUGAUUCUAUAAUAUGGACAGGAGCAUUGCAUUGCUUCCACCCCAUGGCCAAACACAUCUCACACAGUAGGGACUCUGUAUUUAGUAGAAGGCACAUCCUUGAGAAGCAGCUUUUGAGAAAAGCAGGAGUUAAGGGCAGUUAUUUUAGGUCUCAUGCAAGAGCUUGUCACUCCAACCACACAGCUACUGCUGGGCUCUGCAACUGUGACAAAUGUCUCUGUCAAGUCUCCUGCAACUAAGCUGGGUUGGAGCUCACAGCUAGGAAGGAUGUGUUUGCAUAGCACAACAUAGCAAUGUUGUGCCAGGCCAACUCUGGGCAAGCUUGGUUAGACAAGCCACUAGACAGCACCAGCAAAACACCCAGGAAGGUGCCCUCAGGUACCUCUGGAACACACUGUAACCCAAAUUAUCUCAGAAGAGCCCCAGCACAGAGCAAUCACACAGACACUGCUGCAUUUCUUCUCCACCCCAGGCCGCCUGUAUCAACACUGAAGCUCAUGUACACAAGUAGGCGAAACACCACACCCCACUACUUACAAGGACCAGUUGACUAGGUUUCCAACGAUGAGCAGCACCAUCCUGUCCUGAAGGAAAGACACCGAUGAUCACAUGAAAGCAGAAGGAAACACAAGUGGACUUUGCCUCAGAAAUUCAGGCUAUCGUUGUGAGGCUUUGGAGUCUGGUUCCUGUAACUGCACAUGCACCCAGCACUUGUGUUUGCUCCAUGUGAAGGAGUGUUUGCUGGAUGGAUGCUGCUCUGGCCCUCACAGAUUUGAAGAGAACGUUACAUAGCAAAGAUUAAGUAUCUAAAUAGAAGAGUCAACCCCUCAAGAAUCAUUCUCAAAAGACUCGCUUGCCUGCAGGUUGUUUGGCUAAGUUAACUUCUUUCCACAUAAAAACAUAUUGCAUAGAAAAAUGGCAUGUUUGAAAGAGGACACGGGGUGCUUUGGACAGCUUCCUGCACAUAUCCAUGGAGCUCCUCCCUUUAUUUUUAAAAACCGGUUUCAUCAUUAACAACGUAAGAACUCCAACUACAGAUGGUAAAAUAGAUACAUCUGCGGUCCUUACGUAUUUGUGCUUACAUAGCUACUUUCAAGAAGCAGCUUCUUCAGGCCAGUCAGGCUUACUUUAUGCCCGAGUGCACCAAAUUUGCUUGCAAAAUCCAGUCUGAUCCUUACUGUGAAACUGGAGAAUAACAACGAUAAAGUAGAAUUCAUAAAUAAAGAUCUAAUUUGGCUUUCUAGUGAAAGUAAAAAGCCCCAGCAGAGAUCUAUAACUGUGAGAGGUAGGGGGAGAGAAGGGAAGCAGGCAGCAUCACUCUUUUCAAAUAGCCACAACCGUCUCUUCUGCACACUGCCAAGAAAGCAAACAAAUGCUGAAGGAGAUGCAGAAAAGUGAGAAAUCGCCUACCAUGUACAUUGGUCGACUGCACUGCUGGAUACAGUCCGUGUACAGCACCAUUGCAGCCCGUCGAAACAUCCCCAGGUCUACCAAAGAAAAGGACACAAGUCAUUACAGCUAGACCAAGCUCCAUAACACCUGCUGGGGAAAGAUGCACUUUCUGGCUAAGUGAGGACCCAGGCUAUGAAGGUCAGGGUGUGCACAGAUUCAUUUUUUCCCUCUGGGAGUUGUCCAUGCUGAGCAGAAGGACAGCGGGUAGACAGUGUUAGGUCAGAACAACAGGUUAAAAACCAAACAUUCUUGAUGGUUGUGCUGACCCUGUCUGAAUGCAAAUAUGCUGGCUUUGCAGCCACUCCUCUUUAGGGGAGAUGUUUGUGGAAGAAGGGGAAAAGUGCUUUUUAUGGAACAAUGUGGAGGGAAACACAGGAGACACUCAUCUCUGUUGAGCGUGGUCUAGAGAAGCAGAACACACAGUGUCCCUGCUACAGAAAAUAAAUAAAAAUCACUGCAGAACCUUCUCCGGAGAGCUAUAAGUUGCAGUGAAGACAAACAUGCAUGCAUGCACGGAUGCAUAGGUCCUUCUUUAGUCACAAAUGCAGAGCCCAAAAAGACUCCUGUGUUGAGAUAUCAGGGCUUUUCUGUGCUAUACCAUGCCCUUCCUAGAAAGGAGCAGGCCCUAGCAGAGCUGCUGGCAAACAAACUUCAGUUCUCAAGAGCCAACCCCAGGGUAACACACAAGCCCACCUUCCACACACAUCCAUGCACCCCCAGCUUCUCCACCACUGCUCAAUCAUUUCAAAGAAUGGAAGCUGCCACCAGUUACCUGAGUCAGGGCCAUCUGAGGCAGACAGAAGCAGAAGAGGAAGGAGAAACACAUUUAUAAGCAGAGUACGUGAGCCAGGCUCCCCACCAGACCUUCUCUUCCCUCACCCCAUCUAGCUCACCCUUCUGGAGCACAGCACAAGAGACAGCAAAUGGGUCCUGCUGAUUCCCAUUGACUGGGAAGCAGCAGCAGGAAGGUUUCAGAGGCCAGGAAAAGCCUCAGGUGAGAGAAAGGACAACCCCAAACACAAGUGCAGUCCACAGGACUGGCCUUACAGUUCUACCAAAAGCUACAGAGGUGACUUGCAAAGGUUCAAGCAAGAAGCACCCACAAAAUAGUCUGGUUGUGGCACUUACCCAUCUUGAAGCGGCCCAUGUAGUAGAUCUGAGUGCUGAGAGCCAGUGAGGCCAAAACAUGGAUCAGUGAGAAAAUGACCCAAAACCACAUAUCGUUUUUCCCAAACACCUGAAAGCAGAGACAAAUUGGGGGGGGGGGGAAAGAAAAAAACAAAAAACAAAAAACCCCAAAACCUGGGCCCUGUUACCAGCAGGCUGCUCCUUUUCUUUCCUGGAUCACCACACAGAAUUAGACAACCCCACUGAACAUGGAAGAGAAACCCCUAUUAUCUUCCAAGUCCAAACCAAAUCCAGAGACCAGGAAAGCAAGAAGAGCUCAGCACUUCUAGAGAACAAGCCAUUACUUCUGAAUGUCCCUUCAGACAAGGCUGAUGACCUUGAAGGACUGCAGCUGGCUCAGGGAGCAGAAACACUGAGCCAGGUAAGCUCUCCCUGCAGAACUACACAGCAGCCCCUCUGACCAGGAGAGUCAUUUUACAAAGGAAGUCAGGGAACCAACCAUUGCUUUAGCAAGUGCACUGUGGCAAACCAAAAAGUACAAAGUGUUCCUACUACAAGCUUUUUGUUUAUUUAAGGACUAGAAGUGACUUACCAAUCCAAGUUAAUGCCGUGUUAAAACUUUAAUAUUUCCAUUACACACUGAAUAGCUCAGAAACUCUAGUCUGCUGACAGGCUACAACUACCUGCUCCCCUCCCCUGGGGCCACAGAGGGCGCUUGAGUCCACCUAGUUCCAAUCCCCUGCUGACAGCAGGGCUGCCACACAUUAUAUCAGGCUGCCCACAGGCCCAUCCAACCUGGCCUUGAACACCUUCAGGGAUUGGAGGUGCCCAUCAAGCAGAGUAUCAAGAGAUUCUUGGGAAUUCUCAAGUUUACCAGCUAUCCCUUCAUGCCUUAUCCCACAGACAGUCUCCUGCCUGCAAAAGAUCAACUGUUAUACUGUGCUAAUGUAGGACAGAGAAGGGCUAACAGUCUGCUGAGGCCCAGCCAGUAGCUCAAAGUAAGAAUUAAAUGGAUUUUGCCUGGUUACUGCUGAAUGAAACAGUCUCCAACUGGAGAGAAGCAAACAGUAGAAAGAGGCGCAAGCAACCUGGCUGUGAGGACAGUUGUUUUAGAAAGGAGGAGGAAAAAGAAAUAAUAAUAAGAGCUCUAGGAACGCAAGUACAAGUAGCUGCUUAACAGUCUUAUUGAGAUCUGAUGCUUUCCCUGCUCCUCUGGCUACUUAAGCCACACUCCCAGCCACACAUCUCCUCCCCAGAGAAAAAGGCAGAUAAGAGGGAGCCAUACCACUCCAAGGACAGCAAGACAGAUGACCACAGCAAACGAGGCAUAGGCAGAGUAGGCACUAGCAUUGAUGUCUGGAUGGCGGGUCUGGUAGAGCUUAAGCAUGCAAAGUCCUGCGAUCAUGUACAUGAAGGAGGUGUCUGUGGAGGGAGCACAACAGAAAUAGUGAAAACAGGUGCCAGCAGGCUGAGAAAGCUGCUCAAAGCACAUACAGUGAAUUGUGGCAGCAGAGCCAAACACAAAACCAGCUGGCAUGAAUCUCUGAUGCUUUACUACGCUGUACAGCAGCUUGUGUUUUGCUACCUUGCAGUACAUCAUCUAUGCUCUUGGGCAACAAAAAACAGGGCAUCAGGGCACAGGAACAGGCAGGAAGUCACAGAAUGGUUGAGACUGGAUGGGACCAAUCUCUGCCCAUCCUUCUAGUUAAAAGAAAAUUAAAAGCAUUCUUCUGUCUUUGAAAGAAACUUCCUUUUUUUUCCAUCCAAAGAUUCACUGUCUUCUGAACAAGCCUGGAAGCUUCUCAAGAGUAGAGAGGUAAAAAAAUACUUGUGAUUCUGCAAGAGAUACAGAUAGCAAAUCCUUUUUCAAGCACAAAAAGAAGGCAACUUGGCUUACCAAACUGAAAGUUAGAGUAAUUAGGACAGACAUGGUAGCAGGCACUGAGCACCCCUUCCAUCAUCAGAGCAAUACCCAUAGCAUAAAAGAGACCAAAAUGCUUUGGGAUCCCAUAGUCCUAGAAGAGAACAGAGACAGAAGGCACUCUCACUGUUCUGAUCACAAGAGAGCUUUCCACUCUUCAUUACCUCAACCCUCCUAACCCCCAGUGCUUGUCCUUCAGCCCACAUGUAAUUGUAGCCACAGUGCAGAGCUGGUAGAAUCCACAGGCAGCAAAUCCAAUGUAAUUACAGAGAAAUUUCCGGUCUGAAGACCAUAGUGUCUUGGUACUGGUGUUCUGAGAGCAAAAUCUCAAUUCAGCACCACAUUUAAAAGGAUGUUAACUAACCAGGCUGCACUUUUCACAAGCCCCUUUAGAAACAUCUGUCUAGCUCUUAGUUUGAUGGAGCUUCUUCCUCUUUAGAAAGCAGAUGCUGCUCUCCACUGCGUGUUUCAUUGUCACAAGACAAAGCAAGGAUCCAGACGUGCUCCCAUCCAGCUCCUCAUCUGCCCCAGUUUUCCCACAGUGAACACUGGAAGAAGAGCCAUGGGAGUCAUUCCUCAGAUCAUCUCCCUGUCUUUGUGAAUCCAGGCUGGGCAACAACAGCAACACAGACAUAUCACAAGCAGCAAAGUAAGCAUGUGUUCCACCUCCAUCUUUUGCAGAGGAAGAAACAGAGGAUUCCAUCCUCCAGCAAGGAAUACAAAUUGAAAACAACCUCAGCUGUUUUCACCCUGCCCUCCCUCCCACCACUAGUCCCAUGCAACCAUGUACCCACUAGGGUAUAGACAUCUUUCAUCUCCAUGGCCCGACGGUGGAGAAUGUUUCUGCGCAACACAAUGAGGAGAAAGAGAAAGCCCAGCAGCAUGUGGCCCACGUUGCUGAGGAUGUUGUUGAAAGCACUGCAGGGGAAAAAGAGGGUUUAAAACAAGGGCAUCACAGAGGCAGGAAGGUGAACCCCAGGUCACAAUAAACUGAAUUCAUUUAGUUUCCCACCACCACCACCCUCCACCUCAGCAGCUGGCCAGUUUUACACAAUGGAGGACAAUUCCAGCCUGAGUACUUCAUUUGCCUCAAUGGAUUUAACACUUUCUCUGUGAGAUUCCCAACUCUGGGUUCUCUUUGCACUCUAGUGUUAGGGUAGAGAAAUGAUGCACUGAAAGGGCUGUUCUGAAUUGCUUUUCAGAGCUGCUUCUCUUUGAAGACAUGUGAAAGCAUCUGAAGGAGCACACAAGCCCAUCAUUAGUGGCAAGCAGUUUUGCUGGGGUAAACCUGGUACCACAUAGACCUGGGCAUUCAUCUCAGUACAACACAAAGCCACUGCUGAGCAAAAUAGAAAGCUCAGGGAGACUCUGCUCAGAGCCCUAAACUCUCAAUGUUCUUUUCAGUGUGAUUGCUGCAAACCUGGUAAGGAAAAAAACCUGCCUGGGCACAGCAUGAAGCACAAGGCAACAAUGCAGUGACUGCAGGACUCACCUGAGCACCCCAAGUGGAUGAGCACACAGAAAGUUGUAGUAGCAGAUGUCCUGAUUGCCUGUCACAUUCACUACCUGGACAGAGCAGAGAUGGGAGAGCUGAUGUUAGCAAAUCCUUUCUGUUUGGAUGUCUUUGCACCGUACAUACACUGUGUUUACACAGGUCUGAUGUGCCAUAGUGCAGAUACAGCACCUGAGGGCUGCGUCUCUGCAAUCACUGCACCCUGCAAACAGCUUUUCAGAAACCACCACAGCUCAGAGCCCACAAGGUCUUGAAAAGCAACGAAGCUGGUGACAGCAGCUUAGGGUGCUUCACACAGGACUAGUGGCUGAACCCUUGACCACUACGAAACUCAGCUGGUCUUUUUUGUUCUCUUUGCCUUGUUUCAGUGCUUGGGGCGAAGCAGGGACCACAUGCCACUGUUUCAGAAAGUCACUACGUAGAAGUGAAAUCAGUUCGGUAGGACGUAAAGAUACGUGUAGAGACCUGGAGGCAGCCCAACAGUAGCACUGCCAUAAGGGAGUACUGACAUCUGAAAGUGAAGCUUUUAUGAAUAACAGUCAAGAUGUUGCCACAGGCCACAGACCUGACAGCAGUCCUUAGAGAAAAUAUACUUUGUGUUUGCACCCUGCAACACAAAACAAGGGUGAAAAGUAGAUCUGCUUGCAAAUCUCUAAGUAACAGCAGGAUAAAAAGGGAUAUGGAAAACAAUACAGAAAAUAACACUCAUAUCAUAGCCAACUGCAUUUGCUUUCAGCUGUCUUCCAGAGAGAACAGCAGGUUCCUCCUACUGUAAAAUAAAAACAGGCCCCAAAUGAGGAUUAGGAAAAUAAGAACAGGAAUCUCAGGUCUCUACUUUCCAGGCAGAAGCAGCAGAAAAAAGCUCAGCAAGCUGAGCCAAGCUAGCUCUAAUAACCAGAAUCUGGUACAGACAGCAGCUAAAGUAAUCUGCCCUUCAGAGAGACAGCAGGAUCCCCAGGCCAACCCAAUUUUACUGCAGCUGCCAUCCUUGUACCACGUAGCCAUAGUGUAGGUUCAAAGGCAAGAUGACACCGAAUGUUGGUGACAGCCGCAGAUUGACUCACCGUCUGGUAGGUGAUGACAAGCUGGAUGACUGGCAGGGCAUAAAACACUGCAAUAGUGAUAAUGUUCC